ensembl:lncRNA
GAUACAUUUAAGAUAUUGCACUGGAACAAAUGAUAAGCAACUACAACAAAAUGUCAAUAAAUGCAAGCAGUAAUACAUUUCAAAUCAAAUGUUAGUCGUGAAACGCUUACUUACAAGCCCUUAAACCAACAAUGCAGUUAUGAAAAAUCCCCCAAAAAUUAAGAAAUAAAGUAACAAAUAAUUAAAGAGAAGCAGUAAAAUAACAAUAGCGAGCCUAUAUACAGGGGGUACCGGUACAGAGUCAGUGUGCGGGAGCGUUGUACAUGUAUUUUUUAGAGUUACUUUAACUUUGAUUUAGGCUCUUAACAUUGAUGUAGUCUAGGCUAUUCUCUUAUGCAUGAUUCCUCAACUGUCUGAUCUGGGCUAACUACUGUAGCUGAGCCUGAAGAUUAUCUUACAUAACAGACUGAUUGAUUUCCUGAGCAUGUAUCCUAGUGUAGGCCACUUUGAUGUUAUCCAGAAUUUACGAUGAAUUCCACCCGGGACGACGGGUUGAAGCUUUUCACAUCACAUCGGGUAACUCUCAUCACCUCACUCCUGACUGUCAGCAUCACGGUCUGACUGCGGUGACCCCCUUCUCUCCUUAUUUCCUCUCUCUCUCUUCCAAUUAGUGGGACGUAGGGAUGAGGGGUGGGUGACCGGCAGACCGGAGUCUUCUUUAAACGCCUUUUAUUAGGUCGGCCAAUAUGGUGUGUGCCACUAACUCCCCUGACGGGAUUUAAUGUAAUUAUAGGAUUACAGUUGUCGGACAGCACUGCAGCCGGGGAAUAUUUUCUACCAAUGGAGGUGUUUUAAGUGAAUAUACACUUAUUCACUGCGAGGUCAUCUUUAAAUAACGGAACCAUAUAAACAUUAUUAAUCCUGACUUUUUGACAUCGAUUAAUCAACUACAUCGGAAGCUAGAUACAGAACAACCUUCGAGGUAGUAUCUCGAGCGCAUUACGCACGACGGGAGGUACACAGUCGCUCUUCAUUCAGAAGAUGAAAACUCUCAAACCGACACAGAGGGGGAUAUAAAGCAUUACUGCGGAACACCAAGGAUUUGAACUGUUGCCAGAGCAUCAAACGAGAGGACGAUUAGGAAUCUUGCCAAAAGCAAAAGCUCUUCUCUGUUAUGUCUGUCUCCUCUUUACCGGAAUGGAAACAACUCCUGCUGGAGCGAAAGAGGAGGGAGGAGGAGGAGCGAGAGAAGAGAGAAAAAGAGGAGGAGGCCAAACUCGCCAGCAUGCCUGUUUGGAAGCGAGGGAUCAUCCAGAGGAGAAGAAUGAAACAGGAGAGUUUCGGGGACAAGGAAAGAGAGGGCCCCCUCCAAGUCAAGGAGUGCAGGUCCCCUUCUGAUGCUGUGAGUGACCCAGACAGUGCUACACUGGUGCAGCUGGGAAGUGAAUCACCACUCAACCCAGACGUCACAGGGCCUUGGCUGGAUGAAGAGUCUAAACCGCAGAGUCAGGUGUUAAGGGAGACCAUCACCACUGUCCAACAAAAUCCAUUCAUUCGCACGCAUGGCGGGUUGAGAAGGGGAAGAGAAGAAGAUAUGGCUGGGGAGAUGGGCCACGAGAAAGGGAAUGAGCAGGAAAUAGAAGUAGGGAGAGAGAGGGAAAAGGAGAAGGAAAGAGGCCAUGUCAAAGGUCAUGAUGGGGAGUCUGGGAGGGGAAGAGAUAUAGAAUUAAAACUACAGCGAUACAGGGAACGGAGUAGGGGCAGAGAAAGGGACAGAAGUGCCGGAAGAGAGACAAGCCGGGACACCGUGAGAGACAGGGAAAGGGAAUGCCUGAGAGGGAGAAAGGAGGAGGAGAGGGAGGAGGGAGACUCAGAUCCUCAAAACCCCAAGUACCCCCAUCCACUAGUCCCAGGCCUUCGUACCAUCAGAGCAGACAACAUCAUCAUUAUUGAACAGGACAGAAAGGGCAGUGAUGAAAGGAGGGGUAGAAGGAGAGAGUGGGAGAGGGAGGUGAUGGAAGAGGAGCAGGAAAAGAGAGACAUAAAGAUGGACCUCAAGGAGUUUCUUUCUGGUGGAGGGAGUGUCCGAGCAUCAGUGGGAUUGGUAAUUAAACCCUUAGCUGGCACUGAGGACUGCAGGAGUAGAAGUCUAAAAGGGGCAGGCAGGGAAGGAGAUGGCAAAGAGAAGGAAGAGAGAGAGGCAAAGUGCAAUAAAGAUGGAAGAAAGGACUGUGAGAGGGGGCUGGAGAGAGAGGUGGCGUGGUUGAUGAUGAAAGAUAAAGAGAGGGAGAACUUGAGGGAGAAAGACCGACCACGAACACACACAGUUUCAGAACAAGAGAAUAGGAGAUGUGGUGAAACAGAUGACAGUAUCCACAAUGAGAGAAGAGUUAGGGUGAGUGAGCUGCUGAGUAAAUUUGGGGAACAUACAAAGAAAUUCAGGGAACAUCCAAAGCCCCCGUCCCGGUCUAAAAGCUCAGAUUGUUUCAGCCGGCCUGGCAGGGACAGAGACAAUUUUGGUCUGGACAAGGACAAUGAUGGAGACAGGAGAGGGGAGGAGAAACAUGCAGGAUUCAGGGGUGUGCCCAAGCGGUCAUUCAGCUUCUCUGACCAGGUGAUAUGCACAAAGGAGAAUGGCAUGCAGGAUGAGGGGAACCAUGAUAGGAAGGUGGUGGAGAGGACAUGUUCAGACAGGAGGGUGGCACCUCGGGGAGAUGUAGUGGAGGGGGAAUGGUCAGAGAGGGGAGACAAGCAGGGGGGCUGGACCCGGUUUUCAGAUAAAGAGCGGGUGGGGAAGCAUAGAGAGGGAUUCAUAAAAACAGACAGGGAGGAAGAGGGGCAGCCUGAGAGACAGCCUGCGUUGGAAAGUAGCACAGGGAAAGAGACUGACCAUGGGGUCGAGAUUGUAACACAAGUGGAGUUAGAAUAUCGGAACACGGGGACAGAGGAACUAACACAGAAUAUGUGUGAGGAGGCAGGGUUUAAAAGGGCCUCAGUUAAAAACACAGAGGCCUCAUUUGCGCAAGGAGUGCCCAUCAAACACUAUGGGCGAGAGAGAGCAGUGGAAAGAGAGGUAAAGCGAAUGACAGAAGAAAGAGAGAGAGGGAUGGAGAGGGCGAGGAGCACAGAGAGAGAGGUGGUUGGAAGACAGGCAGAACCUCAAGUGAGGGACAGAAGGGGGUCAGCCAUUAGAAGAGGAUCAGACGCAAGGGAUGCCAAGAGGAUGUCAGAAGUAAGGGACUGCACAAUGUCAGUUGAAACAACUCAGCAAAACUGUGUGAUCACCCUCUCUGUAGACAGAGCCAGUCCUCCUCAGUCUGUCGAAAGCCAUUACAGACGUGUCUCAGCAUUGACAGAGUGUUCAGCCACCUUGCUCAGUGCUGUGGCACACAGAGGAACAGAUUGGCGUAGUAGUCAAGGAGCGCCGGGGAACCAUUCAACCCAGUCAGCACUAUCACAGCACACGGGGGAUCUUAUCAACAAGACAGGGAGAGUCGGAGAGACAGCCAACGAACUUGACAAUCACACAGGGACCCAAACAUUAACUCAGGAUCGCAAACGUGUGACGAGGGAGGACACAGAGAAUGUGAGAGGGAGCAAAGCUUACAGGGUGCCAAGUGAGGUGAGCAAGGAGAGCGUACACUCACCUGGCACACACGUGCACAGUCACGUCUGCCCCGAAAUGUCCGUCCAGGAAGUGACCCCUGAGUCUCCCAAGUCUCCAAAGCACAUUGCCUCAGUUGGAAUCCCUCCAACGUCACUUGAGCGACACAUACCCAGGACAGUGUUCUACGGUGCGGAGGAGGUAUUAGAGAACAAAAGGCCAAGCCUCCAAAGCGACGACGACCAGAGCUGCGAAGGAGAGGGAGGGAAAGGUGUGGAGAGGAGGGAUAGUUGGAGGAUCGGCAAGCCUUUGUCUCGUAUCGAAUCCCUGCGAGAGAAAAUCCGGCAGAAGGAGAGGCUGAGGAACACGGAGGGAGCGGUAGCAACGGGGGAUGAUGGAGAUGCGACUGAGGGAAUGAAAAGGGCUGGGACUAGAAGGGUUAGAAGAGCUUCAAGUUCAGAUAUGUGUGAUGAAGGAGAGAGGGGGAACGAAAUGGGGCGAGAGAGACAGAGACAGGAAGGCUCUGCACAGCAGACAACAUCCACUCAGUUUUACGUCACACAGGAAGCGAGCGUGUCAAAAGCCGACCCUGAGCUUCCUGUUCCUCUCUCAUUCUCGCAAUCUGUCAAAGGAGAGGAAGAAAGCGAUCACACGAUCGAGAGAGAGGAAGAUCCAAUAAAACAUGUAGUAGAUGAGUUACGGUGUGACAGGGGUCGGCAGAGAAAACAGGACACCAGAGGCAGAGGAGGAGAAGUAGCAGAGGUUAAACUCUCGGGGGAAGAGGACAGGUUGCAUUAUCUGCCUCCUUCACCCUCUCCUUCACCCUCAGACUCUUUCUCCCCCUCUCUUGCUGAGAUGAGCCGGAUUUAUAACCUGAAAACAGUGGGGUCCAGGACGGCGGUGUGCAUGAGUGAGAGGACCGUGGAUAGGCCUAUCCCUAUACAUACACCCAACGUACAGUCCCGCAUAUCAGCAGAACAACAGGAGCCAAGCAGUCUGGAGAGAUCCGUUGGGAUGCUGACACAGAAGCAGCUGUGGGGUGGUGGUGGGGCAUCUGGAAAUAAGGCCUCUUGUGAUGAGAAUUCCGGACUUCAGAAAAUACAGCGUCAGGUGGAACAGCUUCAGUUGCGAGAACAACAGGAAGUACAGAGACUAUCACACGACGACAACGCAGCACAGUCGACUUUUAGUAAAAAAACUAAUUUGAAAGCUAAAGCGUCUGAAGCUCAGCAAAGCACAAGGAUAUCACACAACCAGCCCAAUAAGGAACCUCAACAGAUGCAUCCGAGGCAAAAGGACCAGCAAACACCUCUAAAUCCCAGAAAAUGUCAGUCUAAUCCGCAGUUGCACUCUGAAAGGCCUCCUCAAUCCAAUCGUGCCCGAUCCAUUACCAUCAACUCCAGAUCUCUCCUGACCCCCUCUCCUGAGAACUCAUUACACCCAGACCAGGGAGUCCCACCCAGCACAUCAUCCUCCCCAUGUUCACCCUCCCCACCCCAGUCCCCCUCCGUCUCUCCCUCUCCUUCGCCUUCUCCGAUCCAUUUCACCAUCAGAACAGGCUCUGGAGGCCAGCAGGCCAAGAGGGGCACCACCAUCACCAUCACCCCAAGGAAGCCUGUUGGAGGGGCAGCCGUGGAAUCGGUUUCAGUAUCCUCAGGACCCUCAGUCAAGACGUCUACCAAGUCCCAGAUGCCUGUCCUAACCGAGAUAGUAGAGAGAGGCAAGAAGAGAUACCCCACUACGGAGGAGAUCGAAGUGAUCGGCGGAUAUCAGAACCUGGAUAAGUCUUGCCUGGUCAAGACUCCCAAAGGGACUCCCAAAGGGGAGAAGGUGUGUUUCGACGAGACCCAGCUGGAGCAGGUUUUUGAAUACCCAUCAGAGGCCUCUAUGAUAGCCUUUACCCCCUACCCCAUACCAGGUCAGGAGAAAGGGAAGGAGGAUGAGGUGCAGGAGGAAGAGGAGGAGGAGGAGAGAGGGGUGUUUGUGUCCGGGAGCAGCAGGAACGUGGGAGCAGCGGCUGGCCUGAGAGUGCUGAGAAUAGAUGAGUCUUGCCAUCGGUAGAUGUCAGCUCGCCAAAUAGCCCAAGUGAUGUUUCAUAUUAGAUUUUUGUUUCCUGUAUUUUGUUUAUUUAAAAUGAUAUAAUUAAUGUUGGUAAUCUUUUUUGAUGUUCAAUGUUUUAUUUUACUUAGGGUCAGGGACUAUUGGUUUUGAAUUUUAAAAAUGAUGGUUUUGAGCAGUUUAUGAGUUGAAUGAUGGCGCAUGUAGCGGAACCUGACUGGACUUUUUAUUUUACUUCUCUAUUUCAAGGUAGAAGUGCAAAGGAAAUAUGAAAGCACAGUACAUUUUGUAGCCUAUAAGUUUGAAUAUAUAAAAGUGUAUUUUUACCAUCAGGUGUGUACUGUUGGGUGAUGAUCACAUGUCAAUGCAAGUUAGUGGAUUACUACAAAAGUAUUGUAAAAGGGUCCGGUCAGUUUAGUUUUAUUUAGCUUAGUUCAACAACACAAUGGCCCUACUGUAUAUAAACGUUGCAUCAGCACUGUAACGAUUCAGGCUGCAUUCCCUCUAGGGCACUACUUUUGACCGGAGCCCUAUGGGCCCUGGUCAAAAGUAGUGCACUAUAAAGGGAUUAGGAUGUCAUUUUGGAUGUAUUCUCAGUGACGCUUAUAUCAUCUGGUCCCUGUGCCUGCUUGAUUUGCUCAUACAGAUGAUAUAAAGAUUAGGUGAUCCACAAGUCCAAGAUACAUUUUGAGUCUUGUGAACAUCCCUCAUCUGUACAGUGCCUUCAGAAAGUAUUCAUACACCUGGACUUAUGCCACAUUCCGUUGUGCUAAAGCCUGAAUUCAAAAUUGAUUAAAUAUAUUUUAUUUCUCACCCAUCUACACACAAUAGCCCACAAUGAUAAAGUGAAAACAUAUUUUUUUUAUUUUUAAAUUUGACGUCUAAUUUACACGUAUUCAUUCACACCCCAGAGACAAUACAUCCAGCUCUUUCAAGUUGGUUGUUAAUCAUUGCUAGAAAGUCAUUUUCAAGUCCUGCCAUAGAUCUUCAACCCUAUUUAAGUCAAAACUGUAUCUAGGCCAUUCAGGAACAUUCAAUGCCGUCUUGGUAAGCAACUCCAGUGUAUAUUUGGCCUUGUGUUUUAGGUUAUUGAUUCAGAGGGAAUGGGUUAAAUGCAGAAGACGCAUUUUCGGUUGAAUGCAUUCAGUUAUGUAGAUAUCCCCUUUCCCUUAUUGUCCUGCUGAAAGGUGAAUUUGUCUCCCAGUGUCUGUUUGAAAGCAGACUGAACCAGGUUUUCUUCUAGGAUGUUGGUUGUGCUUAGGUCUAUUCCGUUUAAUUAUUAUUAUUAUUUUUAAACUCCUUAGUCCUUGCCAAUGACAACCAUAUCCAUAACAUGAUGCAGCCACCACCAUGCUUGAAAAUAUGAAGAGUGGUACUCAGUGAUGUGUGGUGCCUUAUGGCAAACAGGAUUGCAUGUUUUGGGAUAUCUUUAUUCUGUAUAGGCUUCCUUCUUUUAACCUUUAUUUAACUAGGCAACAGUUCACUCUGUCAUUUAGGUUAAUAUUGUGGAGUAACUACAAUGUUGUUGAUCCAUUCUCCGUUUUCUCUUAUCACAGCCAUUCAACUCUGUAACUGUUUUAAAGUCAGCAUUGGUCUCAUGGUGAAAUCCCUGAGCAGUAUUUUCUAUUAAAUUGUAAAAAAAUAAUAAUAAUAAAUUACAAACAUAAUUCCAAUUUGACAUGAAAUGGGGUAUUUUGUGUAGGCCAGUGACACAAGAUCUCAAUUUUAAAUGCAGGCUAUAACACAACAAAAUGUGGAAAAAGUUGAAGGGUGUAAAUACUUUCUGAAGGCACAGUAGUUUCUGGCAAACCAUGGCUAUAUGUAACAUGAUGACAAUUCACUUUUGUUCAAUUACGGUUUCUGUUUCAACCACAAACUGGAUUUAAGUGAGACUUAAUGCACAUGAUUGAAAAACCUGAGGAUACAUUAUGUAAUGAUCACCAUUACAAGUUUUGAUUUUUAACCACUAGUGGAAUUAAUGUGGUAGGAUGAAAAACAGUAGUCUAUGUACUGUAUCUAUAGUACUUUGACUGUAUAGUUUUGAAUGGAAAAGGUAUUAUGUUUGGGUCUCUGGUGUUAUUAUGUAAGACUACAGCACAUGUGUGAUGUGGGUGAAAAACAAGGACCAUGAUUUUCAGACAUUUAAUAUAUAGAAUGGUCCUUUGGAGUAUGGAUUGUUAACGUAUAUUUGACAUUUGUAUAUAAAUGCAUAAUUGACCAAUAAUUAAUCAAAGUUGACGGUUUGGCCUUACCCAGGUCUCCUUUAAGACUCCCUAAUGUUUUAUCUGUAGGUGCUACAAAGAAAACAUUGGUGUCAUAGGAAGCUUCACCGCUUGCUUUGUAAUAUGAGAAGCAUUUUGUUUUCAAUAACAAUAUUCUUAUUAAUUUAUGAAUAUUGAAAAAAAAAAAUUGAUUUAGCAAACUGUUGAACGUAAUAUUGUUGAACGUAAUAUACUCUACGGACAUAUCAAAGUUCUAGAGUGGGAUCUCUGCUAUUUUUAGAGUUAUGAUCCAAUUUGUAACAGAGUGAAAGUGAAAAUGGAUUCAAAAUGGUCACCCUCUUCUGGUGAUUUGCCGGAUGUACAAUACAUGAAAAUAUUAGCCAAAUUCAAAUGGUAUAUUUCAAUAUUUAUGUUUAUAUUUUUCAAUAUUCAUUAAUUAAUAGGAAAAUUGUUAUUGAAAUCAAAAUGCAUCUCAUGUUGCAGAGCAAGCAGCAACGCUUCAUAUUACACCAAGUUUUGCUUUAUGGAGUCUUAAAGGAGGGUUAUAUGGCAACUUGUAUUAUUUCUCAAUUAAGCUUUUAGAUACAAAUGUCAACAAUACUUCCUCCAAAAGGACCAUUCUAUGGAUUAAAUGAAGUGAAAAUCCCCCAAAUCAUGGUCUUUUUUUUGGUCCUAGUUCGUGACAAAUCACCCACAUCCAAAAUAAGGGCACAAAUGUUAUCAUGGUUCCAUGAGAUGCUGUAAUCUCAAUUUUAGGUGCUCUUUUUUACGUGAAAGAAUCUAUCUGAAGAAUAUCAUAUAUAUGGUAUAUAUGAUUUAUGCUCCCAUGUGUGCAAUUUUGAUACUUUGUUUUAUUCUUUCUGUUUUCAAUUGCGGUCAAAGAAGCUGGCUUCAAGAGAGAAAACACAUCUAAUAAAUGAUUUGAAAUUAAA